rnacentral:lncRNA from 1 species
GGGGAGCAAGGCCUGCGGGGAGGCGCAGGAUGGACGCGUUGGCUGUCAUGAUGUAGGACCUCCUGACCUAGAACCAUGCCCGGCGCAGGGAGAACAACGAGCUUACGGACCGGGUGCGGGGGCUGCUGUGCGAGAAAGCCUACCUGCUGGCCCGGGAGCGUUCGCCGGCCCACCUGGUGGCUUUCCCUGGACGUUUAACGGCGACUCCGCCCGGCCUCCCGACUUUUUGAUGCAGGCGUUCUCUUACAUGACUUUCUUCGAGGCUAGAUUCUCGAAAGACAUCCUGAAGGUGGCUUUCUUAAUUAGCUGCCUCACCGGCUGGCGGAGCAGUUCGUAGUCGCCUACAUCGAGAGGGAGAGCCCCGUCCUGGCUCAGUACUGGGGCUUCGUGGACGCGCUGUAGCGGGUCUUCGCCGUCGUGGGUAGGAAACAGUCGGGCCGGAUCCCCGGUGUCUGGGGAGCGGCUGCCGGCCGGGCCCGCGCGAGCCGCUUCACUCCUACAAGCCCGGCUCACUAGUUCCAAGCUGCUGGACUUUGACCCUCGCUGGGAAGCUUGAUCGCCGCCUGUUCUCGCCAAUCUCUAUGCCUUUGCACUGCCCAGCAACCCGGUCACUGCCCAGGACCUGUUAAAAGUUGAAUGGACCUCCCAGAAUCACGCCGCUGCCACCGCCGUUUCUAGAGACGGCUUUUGGCCACCUUUGAGAAUCAGGGUCAAACUUGGAAGGGCCUGCAUUUGUCACACUUCCUCGGACACUAAUUUGGAUAGUUCAGGCCCAGAGACGGCUUCCCGGGUUAGUGUGCCUGACAACACUGAAGAAAAAUUGUGACAUUUUCCUUCCCCAGAAUUACUUCGUUUUAUACAUUUCACUUCUCUUCUGAAAUCACAGCAAUGCCAGUUUGCGCCUUUUGGUCUGAGGAACGCAGGCCCUGGCCACUACCAGGAAAAAGUAUUUACUUUUAAAACUUGAAUGUAUAUCUUUACCGUAUGCCUAGUACAGUAGUGCUUGGAAGAAACAGAUUAGUAAGACAAAAUAUAUGUCUUCAAGAACACUUACGUUCUGAGAAAGAAUUCUGAAUGCAGAUUCUAAUGUCUGGUACACAAGGCUUGCUUGUAGAGAUGGAGUUACAUGGAGGGACAGAAGGUCACUGGUCAGUGAUUUUAGGUUUUUAUACUUCUGAAAACAGGUAAUUACAGAUUCUGAUCAGUUUAUCAUUUUCUUUAGUCUUUUAUUUUCUGCUGAAUGCUCUCAAGGGAACGGAUCCAUACCUGUUUAUCAGGCUCACCUGGAAGAGCCAAGUCAUCCACUCAGGUCUUCCUCUGGACCUGCAUAAUUUCCUCAUUUACUAGAUUGGGUUUCUUUUAUGUGUGGGCUUUUAAUGCUUG